rnacentral:rRNA from 1 species
UCCAGACUCCUACGGGAGGCAGCAGUGGGGGAUAUUGCACAAUGGGGGAAACCCUGAUGCAGCGACGCCGCGUGGGUGAAGAAGUAUUUCGGUAUGUAAAGCCCUCUCAGCAGGGAAGAAAGAAGACGGUACCUGACUAAGAAGCCCCGGCUAACUACGUGCCAGCAGCCGCGGUAAUACGUAGGGGGCGAGCGUUAUCCGGAUUCACUGGGUGUAAAGGGAGCGUAGACGGCCGUGCAAGCCAGGAGUGAAAGCCCGGGGCCCAACCCCGGGACUGCUCUUGGAACUGUGCGGCUGGAGUGCGGGAGGGGCAGGCGGAAUUCCUGGUGUAGCGGUGAAAUGCGUAGAUAUCAGGAGGAACACCGGCGGCGAAGGCGGCCUGCUGGACCGCGACUGACGUUGAGGCUCGAAAGCGUGGGGAGCGAACAGGAUUAGAUACCCCGGUA